GAUUUCUGACUUGGCGCACCUGGCCCGCCACGGUUACGUGUGUGAGUGCCGGGAUGCGCCUGUCACUUUUCUGGUAAACUAUUGUGCCCUUCAUUGGGUAUGAUAGGUAGCCAGAUAUUUUACUUUGAAAAAAUUAGAGUGUUUAAAGCAGGCGUUUGCUAUGAAUACAUUAGCAUGGAAUAAUAAGUUAGGACUUCGGUUCUAUUUUGUUGGUUUCUAGGACUGAAGUAAUGAUUGAUAGGGAUAGUUGGGGGUGCUCGAAUUCAGCGGCCAGAGGUGAAAUUCUUGGAUUCGCUGAAGACGAACUCAUGCGAAAGCAUU
rnacentral:rRNA from 1 species